rnacentral:rRNA from 1 species
GGUUAAGCGACUAAGCGUAUACGGUGGAUGCCUUGGCAGUCAGAGGCGAUGAAGGACGUAGUAACUUGCGAAAAGCGUUGGCGAGCUAGUAACAAG